rnacentral:lncRNA from 1 species
AGAGCGGGUGCGAGGCGGGCACAAAGGGUCUCUGUUUUCGGGGGCUAAGUGGCACUCAGUUGAUCAAUUACCAGAUCAAUUGACUUCUCAAAUUCUAAUAUAAAUAAGAAUCACUUGACUCUCUUGUUAAAAUGCGGAUUCUGAUCCAGAAGGUCUGGGGUGGAGACCUGAGAUCCUGCAUUUCUAAUAAGCUCCCAGGUGGCGAUGACGAAGCUCUUGGUCGGAGGAUCACGCUUUGAAUUGCACCUGUCCGAAAGUAAUGGCUGUAGCCCCAGCUCCACGUAAUUUGAAACUUGCACGACCUUUCUUGUCCUUCUUCCACUGAUGAGAAGCGUUCCUGUGGCUACAUGGGGUGUCCCGGUGAUGCUUACAGUUUGGGCACCAGCUGAGGGAAGGUGUGUUUAAUCCCCACAUUACCCACCCUUGGUCUAUGGAGCAGCAAUCAUGCCAACUUGGUGACUGGAGUGUGGAACCAGAAGUGGAGACGGAAUGGCCAUGGAAGAGAACACUGUGUCUACGUUAAUCCUAAAGGGUUGGGCGUGUGUGUCUGAGUGGCGCGGUGCCAGACACUUGGCCAGAGAAGUGGUAUAAGUGGUCCCUGCUUCUCAAAACGUAACAAUUUGUUGUAGAACUAUACAGGCUAGUUCAGAAAGAAGCAUGUGGAGAAAACAUCCGGGAAGCUAACAGUCACAGCACAAAUUCAGGCAUAAGCUAAAGAGGUUGUAAAAUAAUAUGCCUUGAGGGUCUUAAAAACUGUCCAAAUAUUCUUCUGUCAGUAAUUCCAGAGUCUAGAAGUUAGGACUCCCACUGGCCCUGUCAUUUCUCAAAUUUGACCUAAGGACUCAGUGUUUUCGGACUGGCCAGCUAGAACCUUUGUCGUUCAGCGUAGCCAAGCUCUUAUUACCCAGUAGUGUACCGCCGUGGUUCAAGAUUCUUAAGUGCUGAAUUCUCCAAAACCUUCAUCUCUCAUCUCUUGAAACCAGGUGGUAUAACCCUGCUUCAGCAUUUCUCUCUCACUAUCAAGGUGAUCAAACUGUCGCUUAGAGAAAACUUCACCUUUGUCAGUGUGUCCUGAACUUCUCUGGCUUCUCAUCCCCAGAAGUGAAGCCCACCUAGCAAUCUCAGACAUUGUUCAUCACAUUGUCCCUAUCAGAGAUGGCAUCGCACAAAAUUCAGAGUUUCUGGGAACAUGUUAAACCUGUCACAGCAAUGGUUCUGGCUACAGCAGGAGUAAAGAAAUGUCUAAGCAAGAAAAAUGUUUUGAAAGCCUCAAAAAAAGUUUGUUUGCUGUCAUUAAACCAGUGGUUCUCAAGCCUAGCUGGAUGGUAAGUAUUUAUGGAAGUAGGUUGUGGGGCCCUGUGCCUGGAGAUUCUGAUUGGGAUGAGAAGUGGGGCUUGGGCAGCUAUAGGUUUAAAAAGUUCUACUGGCAAUUUGAUAUCCAUCCAUGCUUGAGAACACCUGCAUAAGCUGCUAGAUCGAUAGACGCAUUUUUUAACAGGGAAAACUAAACUCUGCAACACAAAUCACUAAUGACAUACACACUCUGAAAACAGAAGAAAGUUUCCACAUAAUUUUUGAGAACUGAUUUUUAAAGGCCAAAAAUAAUUCAUAGGUAAUAAAUACUCCAAAGACUAGUCAAUGGAAUAAAUUGAAAAGCUAGGUUCACAACUAGGUUUAAUUUCAAUUGAUUAACUAAAUAUUUCUAAAAGAACGUAUUGCCUUUUGUUAACCAUGCCAAACUGAUAAACUCUCUGGUAAUAGCUUUACUUGUUUUAUGCCCUUCUUAACUAAAACAGAUUUCCAUUUGAGCAUUUAUUUUUUAUUUUUUAAGUUCCGGGGUACAUGUGCAGGAUGUGCAGGUUUGUUACAAAGGUAAACGUGUGCCAUAGUGGUUUGCUGCACCUAGCAACCCAUCACCUAGGUGAGUCUAUUUCAAAGAUUCCAAGGGUUCCCAAUUCUCUUUACUGGCGUUUUACCAAAUUCUGUUACUUUUUAAAAGUGAUUAGUGCCUGCACCUUGGAAAACUAUUGUACAACUUUUUUAUGGUGUGAUAUUCAAUGUAGUGGAAUAUGACCUACUUAGAUUUUAACUAAAUUAGUGAGAUCCCUCAGAACAUUCUACCAACACCAGCCAUCCUACUCAAAAGUGACUUUAUUUGUGACACCAGAAAUAUGGAAGCCCAAUGUGUGAGCCUGCAAACUAGCUUCCCUCCUUCUGUGACACUUUUAAAAAUAUAUUUCACAGCAUUCAAAUGGGGGAGAAAUUUUUCUCACCUUGUAAACUUGCUUUAUCUAUUGAGUAAAACAAGGACAGUUUUCACUGCUACUUAACUGAGUAAUGUAAAUUUUUAACUAGGAAAAAAGCAUUUAUUUUUCUCUUUGUGGGUGUCAUUAUUACAGAAAGAAGCAACAAGAAACAAAGACUCUUGCUUGAGGAUGUGAAUUUGAAAAAAAAAAUCCAGGCUGUCGUUCAUCCUCUGUUUUUCAGUCUACUUGCCUCAUACAUAUAACCUGGUUUUCCUGUCUUGGGAAAUGGAUAUAUUAGUAACUUGAUAUGAGUUAGCUCAAACCAGGUUUCCUACCCCUUAGUCCAGAAAUUGCCCAGCAAGAGAUUUAGGUAUAUUUGAAAAGAAAGAAAAAGAUAAGAUAUAAGCCAUCCACCAUUUUGCCAAGUCCCAGAAAUCCACCCAUUGUUGUAUUAUUAUUAGAACCCCCAUAGACUGCUUUAUAAUUGCUAAUUACCUUUUUAUCUCUCUGACAAUAAAUAGCUUCUCUAAACUUAAUUGAUUUCAUUCAUGAAGACCGAUAGAUUACCCAAGGUUCUAGUCUCCAUCUGUCAUACAAAUCCUGGCAGGAUAACAUUUUGUGUCUAUGUAUCUGUGUUUUAAUAACUGAUACUUUUAUCCCUUUACUGUGACUGUGUACAGAUUUAACCCAACCACAAGGCAUUUUUGUAGAAAACUUGGUUUUCUUUAUAUUCUCUAUAACGAAUGUUAAGAAUAUUAAUAUUCGCUUUUAUAUUUUCACAAAACAAUUUAGACUUAAAAUAUGUGUAGAUAAUAUAUACCUCUCUGUACCUCCCCCAACUUAAGAAAUCAAGCAUUAUACAUACAGUUGAAGACCUCAUGUGCCC